GGAUUUCCGAAUUAUUUAUAAUGAUUUUUCCAAAGUUUGGAAAUAUCAAGAAUUUAUUUGGAAAAUCUGGAAUUUGUAAUGGUGCGAUCUUGGCCGAGAAAAUUGAUCAAGUUAUCUCAACCAUUGGAUUUGAGCCACAUAUUUAUAUUGGUGAGAUAAGUAUUCAUUCUGUAGCUUUUUUGGGAGAAACAGAUCAACCCUUGCAACCUCCUAUCGCGACCAGCGAGACCAUCGAUCCUUCUCCGCCGUUAGCUUUUCUCCGGCCGCCGCUUCACCUCCAUUCAAGUCCCGUCAUCGCCGCCGACGCUCUCAGCCCCAGUUUCUCCCGACCGGCGACCAUGGAUGAAGGAUUUGCGGUGAGCGGUGUCAAGCUUUCGGGUGCCAUCGACGUUCUCUUCUCUUUUUUGUAUUGAAGCAAGAUUAUGAGCUUGGAGCUUAGAUUGAAAUCAGGUCUGGUAGUGGGAGAUAUCAAAGGAAGUGAAGCUGAAACUUGGUUAGAAAUCAGUGACCAGAGACCAGCGACACCGUGACGCGCUUAAGCUGAAGAUGUGAAGUUUGGGGUGUUACACAGAAUAGCAAGCAGUGGAGAAUCUUUCCAGCAGUGGCGUCACGAAGUCUUGACCUGUGGAUCUACAUGUAUUCUUCCACUUAACAAUGUGUC